UUCUGACUUGGAGAACAAUGAAGCGUGAGCUGGAGGGGAGCGAGCGGGCCGCCGGGAGCGCACUGUGUACAAACAGAGGCGGCGUGCGUAGCCUUUGGAAGGAAUUGGGCCAUGAGAAGAGCCCUCAUGAAUGGGAUUAGUUCCCUUAUAAGAAGAGACACCAAGGAAGUGAUCUUUCUCUGCCCUCUGCUAUGUGAAGACAAGGUCAUCUGCAGUUUUUUGUUGUUGUUGAUGAUCUUCCUGUCAUAGACAAUGCUGUAACAAACAGACUAAUUGUUCACUGUUGACAUAUAGAAGUACUACUGAUUGGCCAGACAUAGUGGCUCAUGCCUGGAAUCCCAGCACUUUGGGAGGCCAAGGCAGGUGGAUCACUUGAGCCCAGA
rnacentral:lncRNA from 1 species